UACGGGGGGGGCAAGCGUUGUUCGGAAUUACUGGGCGUAAAGGGCUCGUAGGCGGCCAACUAAGUCAGAUGUGAAAUCCCUCGGCUUAACCGGGGAACUGCAUCUGAUACUGGAUGGCUUGAGUUCGGGAGAGGGAUGCGGAAUUCCAGGUGUAGCGGUGAAAUGCGUAGAUAUCUGGAGGAACACCGGUGGCGAAGGCGGCAUCCUGGACCGACACUGACACUGAGGAGCGAAAGCCAGGGGAGCAAACGGG
rnacentral:rRNA from 1 species